rnacentral:snRNA from 12 species
UUGCCUUUGGAGCAAGGUAAUUUUUCCAGGGUGAGGCCUGUCCUUUGCAUCCAGGCAGGCUGACCCCUGAGAGUUUCCCUAAAUGUAGGAAACUUGACUGCAUAAUUUUGUGGCAAUGGGAGACUGCUUUUUUGCUUUUCCCCC